GCUCCCUUCGUCUAGCGGCCUAGGACGUCGCCCUCUCACGGCGAAAACAGGGGUUCGAUUCCCCUAGGGAGCG
rnacentral:tRNA from 1 species